CUAACCGGUUUGAUAUUUAUGUGUUAGUAUGAGCAUGUAUGUGUGUGUGUGUGUAUAUGUGUGUGCAUCAGGGAUUACGACUCGUAGUGGUUAAAUGUUAUUUAGCAUUGGAAAUAUUCCGUAGUAUUGAUCAGUGUGGUUCGUAGUAUCGAACAGUAAUGACGUUGACCAGAGUAAAAUAGUUUAAUAUUUUAUUUGUUUUUACACUGGACAUCUCUCAACAUAUUUCUCCGACGUGGACAAUCCCGAAUAAAUAGUAACAAAUUUUUGUGCAAACCACGACACGUCAAAUAAUUUGGAUUCGAUGUUGUUGAUUGCAAACGAAGAUCAUAUCGACGAAGACUAUAAUUCGUAUUUAUUACAAGCCAACAAUAGCAUUCACAGAUCCGUUUCUUCAUAGUGGAUUUCGAGUUCACUAUGAUGAACAAAACCGAAAUAUUAUUGGUAUCCGGUGCCAUUUCAAACAGUUUAAACAAAUAUAAACCAGAGAAACUGGAAGGGAGCCCUCCUGUAUUGACAAAAGACAAUAAGUUAAGGAGGUUCCGGCGCCGUGAUCUAAACAAGGUUGUGCAAAGUAUCAAAAGGGUAUUCAAAGAUAAGCCAAGCUUGACCGCACCAUUGUUGGACCAAUUGUAUGGGAGUAUAUUAACCAUCAGGGGGUGUCAACCUUGACAACUGUUUACCUGCAAAGAUACUUGCACAUAGACAAUAGAGAACCGAUAAUAAUAUCUUGGAACGGAUCAACGAACCUAACAAUAAUAAAAAGAUUAAGGUUACAG